rnacentral:lncRNA from 1 species
CUUAGAAAUAUGUAUAAUAUGAUAUAUUUCACUUAUUGAUACACCAUGCGGUUUCGACACAAAAUUUUUUGAGAUGUUUAAAUUAGCAUUGGAAAAAAAAGAAGAGAGACAAAAACAUGGUGUAAUUUUGCUCGAUGAAAUACAUCUUAGAGAGUCUAUUAAUGUGAACUCUAAGAAUCUCACAUAUACAGGGUUGAUUGACUUUGGAAGUGAAGGGAUACCAUCAUUUAAUCUUGAUGAUAAAGCAGACCAUGGAUUAGUAAUAAUGUUUCAGCCACUUGCAGAUUCUUAUUCCCAACCAGUAGCAGUGUUUGCUUCCUGUAUCAGGGGCCUGUAUCAGGAGAAGUACUUGCGCAACUAGUAAUUAAGGCUAUUGCAUUAUUAGAAAAUAUCAAUGUUAAAGUCCAUGGUAUAAUUACUGACGGUGCUGCAACUAAUAGAAAAUUUUGGAAUAUUGUAGGUGUAUCUGGAAAAAAAGAUGAUUUAAUUAAUGUUUUUAAUCACCCCACUGUAAACGGACGUUAUAUAUAUGUAUUCUCAGAUAUACCACACCUUAUCAAAACUAUUAGAAAUAUCGAUUAUAUAGUACAUCAUUACAGCUCAAUCCUGAUGAAAAACAUAUCAAAUGGGAUUAUUUCCGAAUAUUACAUAAUAAAGAUAAAUCGCUACCAGCUCUAAUGCGAAUAUGUCCAAAAAUAACAACCAAUCAUUUAAUACUUACUAACGCAGCUAAAAUGAGAGUUCGUCUAGCUACUCAAGUUUUUAGUAAAUCGAUGUCUCAUGGAUUGAGAUUUUAUAAAAAUUUCUUACCUGAAUUACAAGAAUGUGAUAACAUUGCAAACUUUUGUGAAUGGAUAAAUAACUUAUUUGAUGCACUAAAUCGAAAUAAAGUUUCUGAAGGUUUGACUGUUGAAAAUACGGACUACAAAAGAUAUCUCUUGAAAAAUUAGAUGCUUGGGAGCAACGUGUCCUUGAUAGUACUAUUAAAGAGGAAAAUUUUUUAACAAGACAAAUUGCUGAAGGUCUUCGCGUGACGAUAAAAUCAACAUUAGAUAUAGUAAAAUAUUUAACGACAAAUGCUGGUUUUCCCUCUGUUUUAAUAGGCCGCUUGAAUCAAGAUUCACUCGAGGUUUGAUAACAAAGCUCAUAUUUCAGUAAUCAUAAUGUUACAUGUAACAUAUAUAUGUUAGUUAAAAUUUCCUACUUAACAUGUAAAUGUUAUAUAACACACAUGUUACAUAAUAGCUACAUUGUUGAGUAGGAAAUUUUAAUUAACAUGUACGUUGCAUGUAACAUCGUAUUUGCUGGGAUGUGUCUCCAGGUAACAGAAUAACAUCUAAAGACGUCUUAAUGAUGUAUUAUUGACAUUAAAGGCGUCAUUAAUAAAUUAUUAAUGUCACUUGAUGUCAUUUUGUUGACUGGAUAUAUAUAUGUCUAUAUAUGCAAACAUUUAAUUAUGAAAGACACAUGUAUAUAUAUAUAUAUAUAUACCCAAUCCUAACAUUAUUUACAUACUUAGAACAUCUUUGGAUCGUCCCCAGGAAAACCUUGCACUGUUAGAACAGUACAUAAAAACAUUAGAUCAUCUUAAAAUAUUGAUUAUA